AUUAGUUAGACAACUGAAUUACUAAUCUUUAUUAUUAUUGCAACAAACACACGGAUUACACUAAAAGCUAGUGAAUCAUACACUUGCAGAUGACUUAUCCAAACACAAAGAUAAGACAUGAUUUUAUUAUUAUUGCUAUAAACACACGAAUUACAACGAAAUUCAAAAACUAAAAACAAGGAAAAAAGUAGUGAUGAAAACCAAUGCCACUUCCGGGAACACGAUUGCAUUCGCACAUGCAACAAGCCUUUUAAACCCAUAGGUGACCCAAAUGGGACGAGUGAAGUCUCGUGAGGGUUUCCAGAGACGUUACCCACAAACAUCAUGCAUACGGAUCAUCAACAUCUGACUUGGGAGACUGAGUAGAUAUCCACCCCUCCAGCAUCAGGUUGUUUUUGGUUAAGGCGUAAUUCGAAUCUGUUUUCAAUGAACGGCCUGGUUAUGAGAUCGCUUUGCAAGUGACGUAAUCGGCAGCGCGUGAUUAGGUUGUUGCUGUCAGGUGGUCCGACAGGCUCGACCUUGAACAAUGUGCAAGCCCAAUUGUCUUUGGUUUCAUUUCGGUCAGCAGCUGCGGCCAGGACCAAUAGCUUGUUUUGGUCCACCCUUCUCAAGUAGUUGCCAUUGUAGGAGCAUUUGAUAUGCACGUAAUUCUUGUCGGCGUAGUCCUCAUUGUUUGGCUUCUCGGUGGUGAACUUUAUGAACCUGCUGUUUUCAUUGUCCUCGGAAAACUGGACAAUCUCAUUAAGGUCGCUUUCUGCAUCAAGUUGAUAGCGCAAAUACUUGUUGUUGAUAUCUGCUUUCAGCAGAAAAGGGCUUGGUAGUACAGGUGGAGCCAUAUCGUAUAGUGUAGUUGGGAUUGGGAUGCUCUCUCUUUUUAAUUCUCUGUUGAUGAUCUAAUUUGCUUGCUGUGAAUGUGAUGCUUAGUUUAAACCUGCUAUCCUAUUUAUAAGAAAUUAAGCACAAGCUAGCUCAAGUUAUGGUCUUUAAUUAAUAUUAAUUUCGACAAAUCAGUUUCCCAUCUCUUUCAUUGAUAUGAACAUGGCUGAUCUCAUUGGUGUGGCGCAAUAUUUGUUAAAUUAGCCGUUCGGGUUGAUUUCUUUGUACAACUCAUCUGCCAAUUCUACAACUUGUAGACCUAAUUCCCAGUACAAAAUUAAAAAAAAAUUAAAAUCCAAAACUAAUAUAAGAUAAAUAAAGACUUUUUAUAUCAUAAAAUAAGACUUUCUAACUUGUAUACAAGACUAUAGUGACAAGAUCAAACACAUUGAUGGGUGCGCAUUUUCCAUCAACAUCUGUUCUGUGUGUUUAAACUGACCGUGGAGUCUUUUUAGCAAUUAAAAGUUUUGUAUCAUGUAAUUGUCUUGGUUUGAUAAGACCUACAUCUAGAUGAGUUGCUUCUGAAGACUAAUGUAAAACUUUAUGUUGAUAUUUCUUGAGGGUGAAACAUCGUUUGAGAAACGUGUAGGGCCUCAUUACAAUGUUUUCAUUUAGUUUUUAACUUUUGGUUUAAAUAUUCUACUAUGAAUAAAUUUGUGGCUUUAAUAACUAGUAAAACCACUUUCAAAUAUCUUAGUAUCGGCUUUCAGAACAAAGGGGUUUGCUAGUACAGGUGGAGCCAUGUUGUAUAGUGUAGCUGGGAUUGGGAUGAUCUCUCUCUCUUUUUUGUUUUUUGUUUUUCCUUUAAUUUGCUUGCUUUGAAUGUGAUGCUCAGUUCAAACCUACUAUCCUAUUUCUAAGAAAUUAAGCACAAGCUAUCUCAAGUUAUGGACUUUAAUUAAUAUUAAUUUCCUCAAUCAGUUUCCCAUAUCUUUCAUUGAUACGAACAUGGCUGAUCUCAUUGGUGUGACGCAAGAUUUGUUAAAAUAGCGAUCGGAUUGAUUUUUCUUUGUAUAACUCUUCUGCCAAUUCUGAACUUGUACAUAUAAUUCCCAUUAUAAAAUAAAUAAAUAAAAUUCAAAACUCAUAUAAAAUAAAUAGAGACUUUUUAUAGCAUAUAAAAUAAGACUUUGUAACUUGUACAUAGUUACUGAUAACAUUCAUCUAAGAACUAACAGAUGAAUGUAUGCAAGCAAUAUUGAAGAAAUACAGAGAGAAAGAUCGAAAGGAAUAGAGAGAGAAAUAGAGAAAGAAAUGAGUGAAAGCUUUGUUAUUUCAUAAGAACAAAAGAUCAUCACAAAAGAACCCUGAUUCCUUCUUAUAUAGUCUGCACAUGUAGCUUAUCAGCUAAGCCACCUGUGUAACUAAUUCUUAACAAACUAACUAACUCCAAUAGCUGAUAUGGCACUUAUGAUGAUGUGUCAAUCACUAUAUAUCUUCAACAUCCCCCCGCAAUCUCAACUGGGAUUUUCUAGCUUGAGAUUGUAAAAAUGUUAGACAAAUGAAGGACUGUGAAGACCUUUGGUAAGAACAUCGGCAGUUUGCUCCUCAGUUGGGAUAUACAACACCUCCAAAUCGCCUUCAUGCACUCGUUCUCGUACAAAAUGGUAGUAUGUAUUAAGGUGUUUAAUUCUUGAAUGAAACACCAGAUUAGCACUUAAGGCAAUAGCGGACAUAUUGUCACAGUGAAUCGUUGGUGGAGCAUCCAAAAAUACACUCAAAUCCUUCAAUAUAUUUCGAAUCCAAGCUAUAUCUGCGGCAGUAUGUGCUAAGGCUUUAUAUUCAGCCUCAGUAGAACUCCUGGAUACCGAGUUUUGUUUCUUCGAUUGCCAAGAAAUUGGAUUACUACCCAAGUACACGACAUAACCAGUGAUAGACUGACGAGUAUUCAAGUCUGUAGCCCAAUAAGAAUCAGAAAACGCAGUAAGCUUUGAAACUGUGUUUGCAGAAAAAGCAAUACCAAUGUUCAUGGUUUCUUGAAGAUAACGAAUGAUUCAUUUAACAACGCCAAAAUGAACAUCAGUUGGUGAGGACAUAAACUGACAUACUGUGUUUACAGCAAAGGCAAUAUCAGGCCUAGUAAAGGUCAGAUAUUGUAAAGAUCCCACAAUACUUAUGUAAAAGGUUGGAUCUGUCAAUAAUUGUCCCUCAGAGUGUAACAUUUGAUAAUGAGGUUUACAAGGUGUGGUUGCUGGUUUACAUGAUUCCAUACCUGCUUUAUGGACGAGAUCUUUGAUAUACUUAGACUGAUUAACAAAAACACUGCCAUUUGCUUUAUAUUGAACUUGUAAACCCAAAAAAUAUGUAAGUUGUCCCAUAUCCUUUAACUCGAAUACCUCAGAUAAUUAUUGAAUCACUUUUUGGAUCUUCAAAGGAUUAGAACCAGUUAAGAUGAUAUCAUGAACAUAAAGUAAUAAGAUAAUGAUAUCAGAGUCAUCCUUCUUGACAAACAAACUUGUAUCAGAAGUUGAUGCAUGAAACUCCAUAACUGUCAAAUAACUUGUAAACUUCGAAUUCCACACUCGUGGAGCCUGUUUCAAGCCAUAUAAUGACUUGACCAAUUUGCAAACAUGAGAAAGAUAUGAUGUAUCAAUAAACCCUUAUGGUUCCUGCAUAUAAACUUCUUUUUGUAAAUCCCCGUGUAGAAAAGCGUUCUUGAUAUCUAAUUGGCGAAGAGGCCAAUGAUUCAUUGCAGCUAAAGAAAGAAUAAUCCUUACAGUAGUAUGUCCGACAACAGGACUAAAUGUGUCCAAGUAGUCAAUACCAUGUUCUUGGGAGAACCCUUGAGCUACAAGCCUUGCUUUAUACCUGGAGACACUGCCAUCAGAGUUUUUCUUCACUUUUUGUUCUGUCUUCAGGUGCAGGAACCAAUAGCCAAGUUCCUUGUGCUCGAAGUGAAUCAUAUUUCUCCUGCAUUGCCUUUUGCCACUGUGAAAUAGUAGGAGCUUUCCGAAAUGUCUUAGGUUCUGAAGCAUCAGUGAUCUCAGAAAGAAAGGAAUAGCCACCCGUGAAAGGUUCUUCAUCAGUGAUUUGGAGACAACAAAGCUCAGGACAUUGUGCUACUAAAGCAGCAUAAUUUUGUCCCUCAAUUGUUCCACUCUUCAAUCUAGGGACCAUUGAGUGAGUCAAUGGUGUAGUAUGUAAAAUGAGAUCAAAUAGAGAUAAAUCAGGAAGGAUUACCUUAAGUUGUGACUUAGAGUGGACAAGCAACAAGGAUUGUGUACCAGAGUGAUGAUGUGUAGGAGAGUGAUGAUGUGAAGAGUUUGGAGAUGCAUAUAGAAGAUUGGUUUCAGUCGAAUUUGUAUCUUGAUCACUAGGUUGAAUCACUUGUGUAUUGUCCGAACUAGAAACAUUCAAUUAACCAACCACAUAUAUACUUUCACAAUUUGCAGGAAUACUGUGAUGUGAACCAGUAUCAUUUGCUGAUAUAUGUAUAGAACUAGCUGCUUGUGAAUCAUGCUGUAUUUAUGUAUGAGGCAGGACUCUUGCACUUGGAACUUGUAACUGAAUCAAAACAGGUGUCUGAGAACACCUAUAUGUAGCUGUAGAAUCCUUAGAUGGCAAAACUUGUUUAAACGGAUAUACAUCUUCAUCAUGUAGUACAUGCCUUGACAGAAUGAACUUUCUAGUCUUGAUAUCAUAACAAAUAACUCCUUUAUAUCCAUGAGCAAAACCAAGAAAUACACAUUGAGCUGACCGUAGCUCCAAUUUAUUCUUAUUGAAUGAUCUUAUCAAGAUAGAGCAGCCAUAAGAAACUCUUAACUUUGGAGGAAUAUGAAGUUUCCAAAUGAGAUUCCAUCGCCGGAAAAGCACAAGGCCUAAUGGCCCAAAAGUAAGCAGAUUUAACUGAAAAAUUACCAUCAUUUAUUCCACUUCAGAUACACUUGGCAGUCAAAGCAUCAAAACUAAUUGGAAUGCUAAGAAUUUGUUCAACCACCUCUUUAGUAAAACAAGUAAUAGUGGAUCCAAACCAUUAUUGUAACAAUAGUUAGCUACAGUAGCCUUAUAUGUAUUGUCGGCGUUACCACACAAUCCCGAUAUACGUCCAGGAUCGACAUGUGAUCUCAUCAAAUACUCAUAUCUCUAACUUACCCCACCUCCGGAAUAUGGCAAAGUGAUGAGUCAAUAUUUACCAUAUAUUUUACCCUAAUCUUAGUAUUAAUUUAUUAAUUAUUUUGGUAGAAUUUUGAUACUUUGUUAUAUAUUUCUAACAUAGGACAUUCGACUUCAUCUGGAGAAAAAAGUAACCAAACGGAUGAUUUUUGGAGUGAUUCCAAUUGGAGGAUGUUUGUGAGUCUUUCGAGAUGAUUAUAUCAAAAUUCCAAAUUUUUCUACCUAGCCGUUUGACCGUGGCAAUGAAAUUAAGGCCCUGCGCGCAGCUUUCUCAGAUUGACAUUUCAGGACAUUUCGGGACAUUUUUUCAAUUCGGUUCGGUUUUUUUGUUCGGUUCGGUUUUUUCGGUUUCGGUUCGGUUUGGUUUUCGGUUUUUUUCGGUUUUCGGUUUUUUGAACCCACCCCUAAUUGUCACUGAUCGAGACUUAGCAAACUAAACUGAAAUAUAUUGAUUGCAAGGCAAGAGUACAAUUGUAAAAACAAGGUUUACUUUUUAAUGGAGGUUGUGUAGGAAAAAUUACAUUCAAAUUCAUUGCGGACCUCUUUUUUUUCUAAGACCAAAUCAAAGAAAAAAAUAAUUGAAUCAAUGAAUUACUAUAGCAGCUCCAUUUCUGACAAUGGCAAGAGGUCUCUGUGCUAAUCAAACUACCCGAAAUUUAUCCUAAAACUAUACUCGAGCUCCACCUUAUCUGCAAUCUCAAAUGCCUUCUCAAUAUCAUUUCAUGAUAAACCUGCUAUCCUAUUUAUAAGAAAUUAAGCACAAGCUAGCUCAAGUUAUGGUCUUUAAUUAAUAUUAAUUUCGACAAAUCAGCUUCCCAUCUCUUUCAUUCAUAUGAACAUGGCGCAAUAUUUGUUAAAUUAGCUGUUCGGGUUGAUUUCUUUGUAUAACUCUUCUGCCAAUUCUGCAACUUGUAGACGUAAUUCCCAUUUCAAAAUUUUAAAAAAUAAAAUAAAAUCCAAAACUAAUGUAAGAUAAAUAAAGACUUUUUAUAUCAUAAAAUAAGACUUUCAAACUUGUAUACAAGACUAUAGUGACAAAAUCAAACACAUUGAUGGGUGCGCAUGUUCCUUCAACAUCUGUUAUGUGCGUUUAAACUGAGCGUCGAGUCUUUUUUAGCAAUUAAAAGUUUUGUAUCAUGUAAUUGUCUUGGUUUGAUAAGACCUACAUCUGGAUAAGUUGCUUCUGAAGACUAAUGUAAAACUUUAUGUUGAUAAUUCUUGAGGGUGAAACAUCGUUUGAGAAAUGUUUUGGACCUCAUUACAAUUUUUUCAUUUAUUUUUUAACUUUUGGUUUAAAUAUUCUACUACAAAUACAUUUGUGGCUUCAAUAACUACUAAAACCACUUUCAAAUAUCUUAGUAUUGGCUUUCAGAACAAAGGGGUUUGGUAGUACAGGUUGAGCCAUGUUGUAUAGUGUAGCUGGGAUUGGGACGAUCUCUCUCUUUAUUUAUUUAUUUUUUUCCUUUAAUUUGCUUGCUUUGAAUGUGAUGCUCAGUUCAAACCUACUAUCCUAUUUCUAAGAAAUUAAGCACAAGCUAUCUCAAGUUAUGGUCUUUAAUUAAUAUUAAUUUCCUCAAUCAGUUUCCCAUUUCUUUCAUUGAUACGAACAUGGCUGAUCUCAUUGGUGUGACGCAAGAUUUGUUAAAAUAGCUGAUCGGAUUGAUUUUUUCUUUGUACCCGAGAAGAAAUGCAGGAAGGAGGAAUUUAUAAAGACAACGGAUACCUGCUCUUCGCUGCAAAAAACGACACUUAAAAGGACAAUUUUCCCGAGGUUUUCACCGCUGUUUUUACCGUUUGCUGCCAAAAACAAAUACUCUCCCCUUGCGAGCUCCGUUGUCAAUUCCCCUCGCGAACUUUGAGUCCCUCUGAAAAAAUGAUUAAGUGAAAUUUGAAUUUUUCAAACUUUGUGUUUGGUUAUAUCUAACAAUCCCUAAUUCCAAAUUUAUGGUUUAGAUAUAUAAAAAAGAUAUCUCGGGUACUUCAUUGCUAUCCAUUAAGCUCCCCACUUUCAAACAAAGCAGAAAAUUCUAAUUGAGUUGGGUUUUGAACAUGCAGAUUAGUUAGACAACUGAAUUACCAAUCCUUAUUAUUAUUGCAACAAACACACGGAUUACACUAAAAGCUAGUGAAUCAUACACUUGCAGAUGACUUAUCCAAACACAAAGAUAAGACAUGAGUUUAUUGUUAAAUUGUGGCCAAGUGGCCAUCACCUUUUGUAUUAAACAAAUAAAAAGAAAAAAAAAAGGGAGACAUCAUGAUGUUGUUUCUUACUUUGUGAUAAUGACAAAUGAUGAUGUUGGAGAAUUAUUUUUUAUUUGGCCCAUGUGGGAAGUCACGGGGUGACUUGAAGGAUUUAUUUAGCAGCAAUUGCUGCUUGUGUGGUUAAGAGAAGAAAACAGAGAGCAGAAGAAAAAGGAAAGAGAGCUGCCGAGAGCAAGAGAGUUGCAGAGAGCCCAAACAGAAAAAGAAGCUGCUGCUUCAUUUGAUUAGUAAUCAUCAACCAAAGUAGUUGUUGUUGUAAUAGUUUUGAGCUAUAUGUAUAGAGAAGAAAUUAUUCAUUAUAUUUCUUUCUCUAUUUGUUUCUUUGGUGUGUGAGAGUUAUUGGGUGUAUUGGGCUUUUGGGUUGUGAGAUUGUCAACACUUUGUAAACUCCCAUUUGGUUGAUAGUGGAUUAUUGGGUGAGCUCCUACUGCUCCGAGGACGUACUCCAGUUACACUGACUGUUGAGGAACCUCGUUAAAAUCUUGGUGUUCUUUUAUAUUUUGUUCUUGCAUUUUCAUUUGAUAAAUUUCCUGUGGGUUAGCUUGAGUUGGUUCCAACGGGUUUGGUGCUAUCCUAGCACAACAAUUGGUAUCAGAGCACUGGUUGCUCUUGGGUACUGUCUAGUUGCCAAAGAUGUCAGACGGGCAAGAUGAGAAUCCUUUUGGAAGCACCUCCGGGUUUGCAAGAACUACGGUGCAAAAUGCAAAGUUCGAAGUGGAAAAGUUUGAUGGCACAAACAACUUCGGGAUGUGGCAAUGUGAGGUCAAAGAUGUGUUGGCUCAACAAGAUCUACUUGCCGCUUUGGGAGAGAAGCCGGAAGCUAUGUCGAAGCCGGAAUGGGAGAAAUUAAAUUUGUGGGCUUGCUCUUCAAUUCGGUUGUGCCUUGCAAAAACUCAGAAGUAUUUUUUGUGAUGCGGGAGACAUUGGCAAGUGUGUGUGGCAAAAAUUGGAAGACAAGUAUAUGACGAAGAGUGCAGAGAACCGGCUACACUUGAAGAAAAAACUCUACCGCUUCCAAUACAAAGAAGGUACAAAAAUGAUUAGACACCUUGAUGCUUUUAAUAAGUUGAUUGCCGACUUGUUAAAUUUAGAUGAGGAUAUUAAGGAUGAAGAUAAGGCCUUAAUAUUGUUGAAUUCCUUGCCGGACUCUUAUGAGCAUUUUGUUACCACUAUUAUGCAUGGUAAAAAAACUGUGAAAUUUGAAGAUGUGUCAAAUGCCUUGAUGAAUUAUGAAAUGAGGCAUAGAGAUAAAAAUCAUGAUAGUACCUCUGAAGCUUUAUUUGUUAGAGGUAGAUCAUCGGAGAGGAGGUCAUCUUCUAGCAGGAAAAAAUCACAAUCUCGACCUAGAGGAAACUCUAAAGGUAGAAAACCUUUGGAAAGGGAUGAAUGUGCCUUUUGUCGUAAUAAGGGCCAUUGGAAGAAAGAUUGUCCUAAAUUGAAGAACAAAGGCAAAGAAAGUUCUGAAGCUAAUGUUGCUGAGGUUGAAACAGAUUUUUCUGAUUUUGCUUUAACCACUUCCUCAUCAUUUGAUUGUGCUACUAAGUGGGUGUUGGAUACGGGUUGUACUCAUCAUAUGACUCCUCACAAGGAUUGGUUUUCAAGCUUGAAAGAGUUUGAUGGUGGCGUUGUGUUCAUGGGAGAUGACAAUCCUUGCACAACAAAAGGGAUUGGUACAGUUCGUUUGAAGUUGCAUGAUGGCAUGGUUAAAGAGUUGACAGGUGUUCGGUAUGUACCGAAUUUGAAGAAAAAUCUUAUUUCUUUGGGUACUUUGGAAUCCAAGGGUUUCAGGUUUCAUUCAGAUGGACAGACAUUGAAAGUUACUUAUGGUGCACAUGUUGUGAUGAAAGCUCCUAGAUGUGGCCAUUUGUAUUUAUUGCAGGGAAGCACUGUGACAGGUGAAGCAUCUGUAGUCUCUGAAAAUAUGGGCACAUCUGAUUCAGAUACUACUAGAUUGUGGCAUAUGAGAUUAGGCCGUACCGGUGAGAAAGCUCUACAAGGGCUUGUGAAACAAGGUCUUCUAAAAGGUGCCAUGACUUGUAAGCUUGAUUUCUGUGAGCAUUGUGUCUUGGGGAAGCAAACUAGAGUGAAGUUUGGUACUGCUGUACAUCAGACGAAGGGCAUUCUUGAUUAUGUGCAUUCGGAUGUUUGGGGUCCUACAAAGACUCCCUCUUUGAGUGGUAGACAUUGGUUCGUGACCUUUGUUGAUGAUUAUUCAAGAAGGUCUUGGGUCUACACUAUGAAGCACAAGAGUGAGCUGUUAAGCAUUUUCUUGGGUUGGAAGAAAAUGGUUGAGAACCAGACUGGGAGAAAGAUUAAGAUUUUGAGAUCGGAUAAUGGUGGUGAAUACACAUCCGAUCCUUUCUUUAAAGUUUGCAAAGAGGAAGGAAUUGUGAGACAUUUCAGUGUUCGGGGAACUCCACAACAAAAUGGAGUUGCAGAAAGAUUGAAUCGAACCUUGCUUGAGAAGGUUAGAUGUAUGUUGUCUCAGUCGGGUUUAAGCAAGUCAUUUUGGGCAGAGGCAGUUAAUUAUGCAUGUCACAUCUCAACCGGUUACCCUCAGCUGCUGUUCAGGGUAAGACACCAAUGGAGGUAUGGACUGGAAAACCUUCUUCUGAUUAUGACUAUAUCCGUAUUUUUGGUUCACCUGCUUAUUUUCAUGUAACUGAAAAUAAACUUGAUCCAAGAGCCAAAAAGGCUAUCUUUCUUGGUUUUAGUAGUGGUGUCAAAGGUUACAGGUUGUGGUGUCCAGAGAUGAAAAAACUUGUAAUCAGCAGAGAUGUGACAUUUGAUGAAGAAAGUAUGUACAAAGUCUCUGAGAAGAAUGUGAAAGAUGUCCAACAGGUGGAGCUUGAGAAAGUUGCCUCUGAUACUUCAAAUCCUAUUUCCGCUGAUGUCGAAGCCACUACAAGUGAAGAAGUUGGAGACCAUGAGAAUGUUGAAGAAGUUGAACUUGAAGAUUCUAUUCAAGUUGAAGAGCAAGUUUCACCUCAAGAGUCUAUUGCUAAGAACAGAGGAAAAAGACAAAUUACCAAGCCAGCUCGGUACAGUGACUAUGUUGCUUUUGCUCUUCCUAUUAUCACUGAUGAGAUUCCAUCCAAUUUUGAGGAAGCUAUUGAGAGUGAGGAGAAGAAAAGGUGGUGCAAUGCCAUGGGUGAUGAAAUGAAUUCUCUCUUGAAGAACAAGACUUGGGAGUUAGCUAAAUUGCCUAAGGGCAAGAAAGCUAUCGGUUGCAAAUGGGUGUAUGCCAAGAAGGAAGAUGCUGAUGAGAAAAGCAAUGUGAGAUUUAAAGCAAGAUUAGUUGCUAAAGGGUAUGCACAAAAGGAGGGCAUUGACUACAAUGAAAUAUUUUCUCCAGUUGUGAAGCGCUCCUCAAUUCGUAUUAUGUUAGCUCUUGUUGCACAAUAUGAUCUUGAGCUUGUGCAACUUGAUGUGAAGACGGCUUUCCUACAUGGUGAUUUGAAUGAAGAGAUCUAUAUGUGUCAACCGGAUGGGUAUUGUGAAAGGGAAGGAAAAUUUGUUUUGCAAAUUGAAGAAAUCGCUUUAUGGCUUGAAGCAAUCUCCAAGGCAAUGGUAUUUGAGGUUUGAUAAAUUUAUGAGAGGCCAAAAUUAUUCUAGAAGUCAAUAUGAUCAUUGUGUGUACUUCAAGAAGUUGCAAGAUGGGUCUUUCAUUUAUUUAUUGAUAUAUGUUGAUGAUAUGUUGAUUGCCUCAAAGAAUGUUGAGGAGAUUGAGAAAUUGAAGAAACAAAUGAAGAAUGAGUUUGAGAUGAAGGAUCUUGGUGAAGCAAAUCCUUGGCAUGGAGAUCACUAGAGAUAGAGAGAAGGGUUUGGUCAGUUUGAAUCAAAGACAAUACCUUGAGAAGUUGAUUCGGAAGUUUGGAGUUCAUGAUUCAACCAAACCGGUUAGUACCCCUUUGGCUCCUCAUUUUAAAUUGAGUUCUCUACAGUGUCCUAAAACUGAUAAAGAGAAGCUGCAAAUGAAAAAUAUACCAUAUGCAAAUUUGGUUGGUAGUUUGAUGUAUGCAAUGGUAUGCUCUAGACCGGAUAUUGCUCAUGCAGUUGGCAUGGUGAGUCGAUAUAUGCAUAAUCCAGGUAAAGAGCACUGGCAAGCAGCUAAGUGGAUAUUGAGAUAUCUCCAUGGUACUCGAGAUGUUGGUUUAUGCUUUGAGAGAGAUGACUCUGGUAUUGGUCAUUUUGCAGUUGGUUAUGUUGAUUCAGAUUAUGCAGGUGAUCUGGAUGGAAGGAAGUCUACUACAGGCUAUGUGUUUACUAUGGCUAAAGGACCAGUUUGUUGGAGGUCCAUUUUGCAGUCGUCUGUUGCCUUGUCUACUACAGAGGCUGAAUAUAUGGCAGUUGCUGAAGCUAUAAAGGAGGCCAUUUGGAUACAUGGGCUGAUUAGAGAUUUGGGGGUUGAUCAGAAGCAGGUGGAGGUACAUUGUGAUAGUCAGAGUGCCAUUUAUUUGGCUAAGUAUCAGGUUCAUCAUGCGAGGACCAAGCACAUAGAUGUGCGUUAUCACUUUGUUCGUGAAAUUGUUGGUGAAGGGGAAAUCAUUCUCCAGAAGAUUCCAACUAAAGACAACCCCGCUGAUAUGUUGACUAAGGUUGUUGGUGUAGCCAAGUUUGUUCACUGUUUGAACUUGGCUCACAUUAUGCCUAUAUAAAGAAGGCGUUGAGCAGUAGGAGUUUUGGAGCAUUUGGCUCGGCAUGAGUUGUUCUCUUGCUAGUGUUCGGGAGUGAUGUUGUGUGCUAAUUGUGUUGGUUGGCUUAUCAUGGCGUUUUCGGAACUUGGCCAAGGUGGAGAUUGUUAAAUUGUGGCCAAGUGGCCAUCACCUUUUGUAUUAAACAAAUAAAAAGAAAAAAAAAAGGGGAGACAUCAUGAUGUUGUUUCUUACUUUGUGAUGAUGACAAAUGAUGAUGUUGGAGAAUUAUUUUUUCUUUGGCCCAUGUGGGAAGUCACGGGGUGACUUGAAGGAUUUAUUUAGCAGCAAUUGCUGCUUGUGUGGUUAAGAGAAGAAAACAGAGAGCAGAAGAAAAAGGAAAGAGAGCUGCCGAGAGCAAGAGAGUUGCAGAGAGCCCAAACAGAAAAAGAAGCUGCUGCUUCAUUUGAUUAGUAAUCAUCAACCAAAGUAGUUGUUGUUGUAAUAGCUUUGAGCUAUAUGUAUAGAGAAUAAAUUAUUCAUUAUAUUUCUUUCUCUAUUUGUUUCUUUGGUGUGUGAGAGUUAUUGGGUGUAUUGGGCUUUUGGGUUGUGAGAUUGUCAACACUUUGUAAACUCCCAUUUGGUUGAUAGUGGAUUAUUGGGUGAGCUCCUACUGCUCCGAGGACGUACUCCAGUUACACUGACUGUUGAGGAACCUCGUUAAAAUCUUGGUGUUCUUUUAUAUUUUGUUCUUGCAUUUUCAUUUGAUAAAAUUUCCUGUGGGUUAGCUUGAGUUGGUUCCAACGGGUUUGGUGCUAUCCUAGCACAACAUUUAUUAUUAUUGCUAUAAACACACGGAUUACAGCGAAAUUCAAAAACUAAAAAUAAGGAAAAAAGUAGUGAUGAAAACCAAUGCCACUUUCGCGGGAACACGAUUGAAUUCGCACAUGCAACAAGCCUUUUAAACCCAUAGGUGACCCAAAUGGGACGAGUGAAGUCUCGUGAGGGUUUCCAGAGACGUUACCCACAAACAUCAUGCAUACUGAUCAUCAACAUCUGCCUUGGGAGACUGAGUAGAUAUCCACCCCUCCAGCAUCAGGUUGUUUUUGGUUGAGGCGUAAUUCGAAUCUGUUUUCAAUGAACGGCCUGGUUAUGAGAUCACUUUGCAAGUGACGUAAUCGGCAGCGCGUGAUUAGGUUGUUGCUGUCAGGUGGUCCGACAGGCUCGACCUUGAACAAUGUGCAAGCCCAAUUGUCUUUGGUUUCAUUUCGGUCAGCAGCUGCGGCCAGGACCAACAGCCUGUUUUGGUCCACCCUUCUCAAGUAGUUACCAUUGUAGGAGCAUUUGAUAUGCACGUAAUUCUUGUCAGCGUAGUCCUCAUUGUUUGGCUUCUCGGUGGUGAACUUUAUGAACCUGCUGUUUUCAUUGUCCUCGGAAAACUGGACAAUCUCAUUAAGGUCGCUUUCUGCAUCAAGUUGAUAGCGCAAAUACUUGUUGUUGAUAUCUGCUUUCAGCAAAAAAGGGCUUGGUAGUACAGGUGGAGCCAUAUCGUAUAGUGUAGUUGGGAUUGGGAUGCUCUCUCUUUUUUAUUCUCUGUUGAUGAUCUAAUUUGCUUGCUGUGAAUGUGAUGCUUAGUUCAAACCUGCUAUCCUAUUUAUAAGAAAUUAAGCACAAGCUAACUCAAGUUAUGGUCUUUAAUUAAUAUUAAUUUCGACAAAUCAGUUUCCCAUCUCUUUCAUUGAUAUGAACAUGGCUGAUCUCAUUGGUGUGGCGCAAUAUUUGUUAAAUUAGCCGUUCGGGUUGAUUUCUUUGUAUAACUCAUCUGCCAAUUCUACAACUUGUAGACUUACUUCCCAUUACAAAAUAAAAAAUAAAAUAAAAUCCGAAACUAAUGUAAGAUAAAUAAAGACUUUUUAUGUCAUAAAAUAAGACUUUCUAACUUGUAUACACGACUAUAGUGACAAGAUCAAACACAUUGAUGGGUGCGCAUUUUCCAUCAACAUCUGUUCUGUGCGUUUAAACUGAGCGUGAAGUCUUUUUUAGCAAUUAAAAGUUUUGUAUGAUGUAAUUGUCUUGGUUUGAUAAGACCUACAUCUAGAUGAGUUGCUUCUGAAGACUAAUGUAAAACUUUAUGUUGAUAUUUCUUGAGGGUGAAACAUCGUUUGAGAAACGUUUUGGGCCUCAUUACAAUUUUUUCAUUUAUUUUUUAACUUUUGGUUUAAAUAUUCUACAAUAAAUACAUUUGUGGCUUUAAUAACUAGUAAAACCACUUUCAAAUAUCUUAGUAUCGGCUUCAGAACAAAGGGGUUUGGUAGUACAGGUGGAGCCAUGUUGUAUAGUGUAGCUGGGAUUGGGAUGAUCUCUCUCUUUAUUUAUUUAUUUAUUUUCUUUAAUUUGCUCGCUUUCAAUGUGAUGCUCAGUUCAAACCUACCAUCCUAUUUCUAAGAAAUUAAGCACAAGCUAUCUCAAGUUAUGGUCUUUAAUUAAUAUUAAUUUCCUCAAUCUGUUUCCCAUAUCUUUCAUUGAUACGAACAUGGCUGAUCUCAUUGGUGUGACGCAAGAUUUGUUAAAAUAGCUGAUCGGAUUGAUUUUUUCUUUGUAUAACUCUUCUGCCAAUUCUGAAAUUGUACAUAUAAUUCCCAUUAUAAAAUAAAUAAAUAAAAUCCAAAACUCAUAUAAAAUAAAUAGAGACUUUUGAUAGCAUAUAAAAUAAGACUUUGAAACUUGUACAUAGUUACGGAUAACAUUCAUCUAAGAAUUAACAGAUGAAUGUAUGCAAGCAAUAUCGAAGAAAUACAGAGAGAAAGAUCGAAAGGAAUAGAGAGAGAAAUAGAGAAAGAAAUGAGUGAAAGCUUUGUUAUUUCAUAAGAACAAAAGAUCAUCACAAAAGAACCCUGAUUCCUUCUUAUAUAGUCUGCACAUGUAGCUUAUCAGCUAAGCGUGUAACUAAUUCUUAACAAACUAACUAACUCCAAUAUCUGAUAUUUCACUUAUGAUGAUGUGUCAAUCACUAUAUAUCUUCAACAUCCCCCACAAUCUCAACUGGGAUUUUCCAGCUUGAGAUUGUAAAAAUGUUUGACAAAUGAAGGACUGUGAAGACCUUUGGUAAGAACAUCGGCAGUUUGCUCCUCAGUUGGGAUAUACAACACCUCCAAAUCGCCUUGCUGCACUCGUUCUCAGUUUAUAUCAAGGUGUUUAAUUCUGAAAUGAAACACCAGAUUGGCACUUAAGGCAAUAGCGGACAUAUUCUUACAGUGAAUCGUUGGUGGAGCAUCCAAAAAUACACCCAAAUCCUUCAAUAUAUUUCGAAUUCAAGCUAUAUGUGCCGCAGUAUGUGCUAAGGCUUUAUAUUCAGCCUCAGUAGAACUCCUGGAUACCGAGUUUUCUUUCUUCGAUUGCCAAGAAAUUGGAUUAUUGCCUAAGUACACGACAUAACUAGUGAUAGACCGACGAGUAUUCAAGUAUGCAGCCCAAUCAGAAUCAGAAAACGCAGUAAGCUUUGAAACUGUGUUUACAGAAAAAGUAAUACCAAUGUUCAUGGUUCCUUGAAGAUAACGAAUGAUUCGUUUAACAACGCCAAAAUGAACAUCAGUUGGUGAGGACAUAAACUGACAUACUGUGUUUACAGCAAAGGCAAUAUCAGGCCUAGUAAAGGUUAGAUAUUGUAAAGAUCCCACAAUGCUUCUGUAGGAGGUUGGAUCUGUCAAUAAUUGUCCCUUAGAGUGUAACAUUUGAUGAUGAGGUUUACAAGGAGUGGUUGCUGGUUUACAUGAUUCCAUACCUGCUUUAUGGACGAGAUCUUUGAUAUACUUAGACUGAUUAACAAAAACACUGCCAUCUGCUUUAUAUUGAACUUGUAAACCCAAAAAAUAUGUAAGUUGUCCCAUAUCCUUUAACUCGAAUACCUCAGAUAAUUAUUGAAUCACUUUUUGGAUCUUCAAAGGAUUAUAACCAAUUAAGAUGAUAUCAUCAACAUAAAGUAAUAAGAUGAUGAUAUCAGAGUCAUCCUUCUUGACAAACAAACUUGUAUCAGAAGUUGAUGCAUGAAACUCCAUAACUGUCAAAUAACUUGUAAACUUCGAAUUCCACGCUCGUGGAGCUUGUUUCAAGCCAUAUAAUGACUUGACCAAUUUGCAAACAUGAGAAGGAUAUGAUAGAUCAAUAAACCCUUGUGGUUGCUGCAUAUAAACUUCUUCUUGUAAAUCUCCAUGUAGAAAAGCGUUAUUGAUAUCUAAUUGGUGAAGAGUCCAAUUAUUCAUUGCAGCUAAAGAAAGAAUAAUCCUUACAGUAGUAUGUCGGACAACAGGACUAAAUGUGUCCAAGUAGUUAAUACCAUGUUCUUGGGAGAACCCCUGAGCUACAAGCCUUGCUUUAUACCUGGAGACACUGCCAUCGGGGUUUUUCUUCACUUUGUAUACCCAUUUGCUUCCUACAAUUGUUCUAUCUUCAGGUGCAGGAACCAAUAGCCAAGUUCCUUGUGCUCGAAGUGAAUCAUAUUUCUCCUGCAUUGCCUUUUGCCACUGUGAAAUUGUAGGAGCUUUCCGAAAUGUCUUAGGUUCUGAAGCAUCAGUGAUCUCAGAAAGAAAGGAAUAGCCACUUGUGAAAGGUUCUUCAUCAAUGAUUUGGAGUGAACAAAGCUCAGGACAUUGUGUUACUAAAGCAGCAUAAUUUUGUCUCUCAAUUGUUCCACUCUUCAAUCUAGUGACCAUUGAGUGAGUCGAUGGUGCAGUAUGUAAAAUGAGAUCAGAUAGAGAUAAAUCAGCAAGGAUUACCUCAAGUUGUGACUCGGAGUGGACAGGCAACAAGGAUUGUGUACCAGAGUGAUGAUGUGUAGGAGAGUGAUGAUGUGAAGAGCUUGGAGAUGCAUAUAAAUGAGUGGUAUCAGUCGAAUUUGUAUCUUGAUCACUAGGUUGAAUCACCUGUGUAUUGUUCGAACUAGAAACAUUCAAUUAACCAACCACAUUUAUACUUUCACCAUUUGCAGGAAUACUGUGAUGCGAACCAGUAUCAUUUGCUAAUAUAUGUAUAGAACUAGCUGCUUGUGAAUCAUGCUGUAUUUAUGUAUGAGGCAGGACUCUUGCACUUGGAACUUGUAAUUGAAUCAAAACAUGUGUCUGAGAACACCUAUAUGUAACUGUAGAAUCCUUAGAUGGCAGAACUUGUUUAAACGGAUAAACAUCUUCAUCAUGUAGUACAUGCCUUGACAUAAUGAACUUUCUAGUCUUGAUAUCAUAGCUAAUAACUCCUUUAUAUCCAUGAGCAAAACGAAGAAAUACACAUUGAGCUGACCGUGGCUCCAAUUUGUUCUUAUUGAAUGGUCUCAAUAGAGGAUAUAUUGCAGUACCAAAGACUUUAAGAUGUUGUACUUCAGGAACACAACCAAACACAACUUGAUAGGGAGAUUUCAUCUUCAAAUUUCUAGAUGGCAUCGUAUUGAUUAAGAAUGCAACAUGAGAACAAGCAUGAUACCAGAAAGCUGAAGGUAAUUGAGCAUCUAAUAGCAAACUAAUAGCAGUCUCAACUAAAUGUCUAUGUUUUCGUGUAGCAAGACCAUUUUGCUGUGGUGUAUGAGAGCAUGAAACUGGUGUAUAAUUCCUUUUAUCUCUAACAACUGUCUAAACACAUUACUCAUAUAUUCACCUCCACCAUUUGAUUGAAGAACUUUAACGGAAGCAUUAAACUGAUUCUCAAUAAAUGUCAGAGACUUGGUAAAGAUUGGAAAAGCAUCGGAUUUAUUAACCAUCGGAAAAAUCCAUACAAAUCAAGAGCAGUCAUCUACAAAGCUUAUGUAAUACCUAUAACCCUCUAUUAACCUCUGCAGUGAAGGACCCCAUAUAUCUGAAUGUAUCCUUUCAAAUACAACUUUUGACCUAUCGGGACUUACAGAGAAAGGCAACUUAGUCAUUUUUCCUUGAAUACAAGCAGUACAUAUAGAUGGAGACAAAUCUAUACUGGCUAAUACUUCAGACUUAUUCAACAUUGUAGUAAGCACUUCUUCAGAUGGAUGACCCAACCUUUUAUGCCAAACUGUAGUCUUUAGCUUCUUUCCAACAAAAGUUGCACAUCUUUCAAUACUUGGUACUCUGGAUCUUGACAACACUGUUAUUGGUAUCUUGAAGAGCUCCCCAUCAUCACUCUGGCCUUGGUACACAAUCCUUCGAGUUGCUUUGUCCUGUAUCAAGAAGAUCAGAUCAUCACAUACAAACCAGCAAUUAUUAUCUCUGCAUAAGUUCUUAACAGACAACAAAUUCAUUGUAAUGUGUAGAACAUGUAGCACAUUUUGCAGAAUUAAUGACUUUUGUUGAGUGUUAAGGACAGAGGAACCAAUAUUUUUAACCACCAAACCUUCUUCAUUACCAACAGUGAUCAUGGCAUCACCAUUAUAAGGAGUGAUAUAAUUUAAAACUUCGACAUUUGAUGUCAUGUGGUGAGUUGCACCUAUGUCAACUACCUAUGUAUCAGCAGCUAAAAAACCAUGGACAUUUGAGUCUUCAGUUGCAACAUUUGAGCCUUGAGCAGCCAUCCCAACAAGAGAUGUAGGUGGUGCACUGCCUUGAUAUGAGAAGUUAUUCCUAUGAAAGCAUUCCAAAGCCCGAUGACCUAUUUUCCCACAUAUCUGACAUACCAAGAUCCCUCCAGAUGAUUGAUUGUUAUCAGCUCUAAGGUAACAAUUUGGUGUUGUAUGGUCUCUUCUAGAACAAAUUUGACAUUCAGGAGAUAUAACAUUGCUGUAAUUUGUAUCACCAUUCCAAGUGUUUCCUUGUUUGCUUCCAUUACCAGAGAAAGAACUUUGAGAACCUCCAUUUGAACAUCUUUCCCAUUAUUCCCAAAAGUAGAAUAUGGCCUGUAAUUAUUAUUCCCACCAUUAUAACCACCAGAGAAUUUUCGAUUGUUCAAAUUAUUCCCAUUAUACCUCCUAUUAUUGUUACCACCAUUGUAAUUAUUCCUCCCUUGAGACCUCUAUGCAUUUGAACUCUCCCCUUGUUCAUAACUUUGAGUAUUGCCCUGAGAUUCCUGUGUAUUCGAGCCAUUGCCCUGAACAUACAUGGCAGCCAUAGAACUUGAUAAAGUUGUCAGUCUAGACUCAAUACUGCUUUCAGCCCUAAUUAGUUGAGCUCGAAAAUCUUUCAUUGAAAUCGGAGUGUCUCUUGCUAAGAUUACUGUCUUGAUCAUUUCAAAUUAUGGAGGUAAACUAGUUAAAGCAAUGACCAAAUCAUUCUCAGUGAUUUUCUCCCCUGCAGCAACCAGUUGAUCCUUGAUAAUCUUCAAUCGAAGCAAAUACUUGUCAACAUAAUCCGCACCUUUCUGUGUAGUAUGAAACUCAGUCUUGAGUUGAUUAACCCUGACAACAGAUACAGACGCAUAUCAUUCCUGUAAAGAUUUCCAAGCUUCUUGAGAAGUUUUACACCCAAUGACAUAGCCCAUAGCUUCAUCUGAAAGUGUAGCAAUCAGCAAACUCAAUAGAGAGACAUCUGUUUUAACCCAAUCUUUAUAUGCAGUAGUAAUUUCUUUAGUGACCCCAGUCUCAGUAUUGAUGACAAACUUUGGAGGACAUUGAGACUCCCCACUAAAGAAAUCAAAGAAAUCGUACCCCUUAAGCACCGACUGAAACUGAUAAUCCCAUUUGACAAAAUUAUCUUCUUUCAACUUAGCAGUGAUCAUGCCCAAAAGACUUUCAAUUUUCACAGAACUAAACACCAUAUUGUUGAUAGAAACUGAAUCAAGAAAUCAAGUACUCAAACAAUCUUCAAGAAUUAUAACAACUCCAAGAACACACACUACUGAUUAUCGGCCUUGUUCGUGUGAAAAACCCAACAAACACUCAAACAACAGCAAUGGCUAUCGGCCUUUAUGCUUUGACAGAAAACGUUUCAACAAUCAUUCAAUUAGAAAAAUGGCUAUCGGCCUUCAAUAUCAUACUCCAAACAUCAAGAAAUGGCUAUCGGCCUUCAAUAUCAUACUCCAAACAUCAAGAACUUGCUAUCGCCCUUCAACUUUCAGUCUUUCACAAAAGAUUCAUCAUUGCGACAAUUACACAAACACUUAGAGUGCAAAAAGAAAAAUAACACCUAAAAAACUCAAAGUCUAACUUCCCAAACGCCAAAAGCUCAUUAACCCACUAUACCACUUCACAGCAAUCAAGAUAAUCUUUUGGCACAGCACAGCGGAAAUACACACCACGAGAUCGAACACUUGGCGAAGAUACCAUGAUAACAUUCAUCUAAGAACUAACAGAUGAAUGUAUGCAAGCAAUAUCGAAGAAAUGCAGAGAGAAAGAUCGAAAGGAAUAGAGAGAGAAAUAGAGAAAGAAAUGAGUGAAAGUUUUGUUAUUUCAUAAGAACAAAAGAUCAUUACAAAAGAACCCUAAUUCCUUCUUAUAUAGUCUGCACAUUUAGCUUAUCAGCUAAGCCACCUGUGUAACUAAUUCUUAACAAACUAACUAACUUCAAUAGCUGAUAUGGCACUUAUGAUGAUGUGUCAAUCACUAUAUAUCUUCAACAGUUACAAGAUCGAACACAUUGAUGGGUUAUAUAUUUGGGGCUCACUACAAUUUUUUUCACUUAAUUUAGGUUUUGGCUUAAAUAUACCAUUCAAACUAAAUGUGUGGCUCAAUAAUUGGUAGAAACCUUUCCAAAUGCUUUAUAAAUGUUCUCUUAAUGAUAACGGAGAAUAUUUUGGGAAGACAACUUAUUUGAAUUUCUCACGAAAAUGUGGGUGCUCAUUAAUUUUAGUCGGCUUGGCAAUUUUGUAUAAAAAUCAUCAUUAAAUAUAGUAGUUUUCACCUUUGCCUCACCGCUAUAUUUCUAAAAGUAAUGUAAGACUUUCAGCCUUUGUUCAUUAGUGAGGAUCUUAUCAAGAUAGAGCAGCCAUAAGAAACUCUUAACUUUGGAGGAAUAUGAAGUUUCCAAAUGAGAUUCCAUCGCCAAUUAGGUAAAGCACUAGGCCUAAUGGCCCAAAAAUAUGCAGAUUUAACUGAAAAAUUACCAUCAUUUAUUCCACUUCAGAUACACUUGGCAGUCAAAGCAUCAAAACUAAUUUGAAUGCUAAGAAUUUGUUCAACCACCUCUUUAGUAAAACAAGUAAUAGUGGAUCAUGUAUUUGUCUUGGUUUGAUAAGACCUACAUCUAGAUGAGUUGCUUCUUAAGACUAAUGUAAAACUUUAUGUUGAUAUUUCUUGAGGGUGAAACAUCGUUUGAGAAACGAUUUGGGCCUCAUUACAAUUUUUUCAUUUAGUUUUUAACUUUUGGUUUAAAUAUUCUACUAUAAAUACAUUUGUGGCUUUAAUAACUAGUAAAACCACUUUCAAAUAUCUUAGUAUCGGCUUUCAGAACAAAGGGGUUUGGUAGUACAGGAGCCAUGUUGUAUAGUGUAGCUGGGAUUGGGAUGAUCUCUCUCUCUUUUUUGUUUUUUUGUUUUCCUUUAGUUUGCUUGCUUUGAAUGUGAUGCUCAGUUCAAACCUACCAUCCUAUUUCUAAGAAAUUAAGCACAAGCUAUCUCAAGUUAUGGUCUUUAAUUAAUAUUAAUUUCCUCAAUCAGUUUCCCAUAUCUUUCAUUGAUACGAACAUGGCUGAUCUCAUUGGUGUGACGCAAGAUUUGUUAAAAUAGCUGAUCGGAUUGAUUUUUUCUUUGUAUAACUCUUCUGCCAAUUCUGAACUUGUACAUAUAAUUCCCAUUAUAAGAUAAAUAAAUAAAAUCCAAAACUCAUAUAAAAAAAAUAGAGACUUUUUAUAGCAUAUAAAAUAAGACUUUGUAACUUGUACAUAGUUACAAGAUCGAACAAAUUGAUGGAUUAUAUAUUUGGGGCUCACUACAACUUUUUUUCACUUAAUUUUAGGUUGUGGCUUAAAUAUACCAUUCAAACUAAAUGUGUGGCUCAUUAAUUGGUAGAAACCUUUCCAAAUGCUUUAUAAAUGUUCUCUUAAUGCUAACGGAGAAUAUUUUGGGAAGACAAAAUAUUUGCAUUUCUUACGAAAAUGUGGGUGCUCAUUAAUUUUAAUUGGUUUUGCAAUUUUGUAUAAAAUCAUCAUUAAAUAUAGUAGUUUUCAUCUUUGCCUCACCGCUAUAUUUCUAAAAGUAGUGUAAGAUUUUCAGCCUUUGUUCAUUAGUGAGGAUCUUAUCAAGAUAGAGCAGCCAUAAGAAACUCUUAACUUUGGAGGAAUAUGAAGUUUCCAAAUGAGAUUCCAUCGCCAAUUAGGAAAAGCACAAGGCCUAAUGGCCCAAAAAUAAGCAGAUUUAACUGAAAAAUUACCUUAAUUUAUUCCACUUCAGAUACACUUGGCAGUCAAAGCAUCAAAACUAACUAAUUGGAAUGCUAAGAAUUUGUUCAACCACCUCUUUAGUAAAACAAGUAAUAGUGGAUCCAAACCAUUAUUGUAACAAUAAUUAGCUACAGUAGCCUUAUACGUAUUGUCCGUGUCACCACCCGAUCCCGAUACACGUCCAGGAUCGACAUGUGAUGUCAUCAAAUACCCAUAUCUCUAACUUACCCCGCCUCCGGGAUAUGGCAAAGUGAUGAGUCAAUAUUUUACCAUAUAUUUUACCCUAAUCUUAGUAUUAAUUUAUUGGUUAUUUUGGUAGAAUUUUGAUACUUUGUUAUAUAUUUCUAAUAUAGGACAUUCGACUUCAUCUGGACAAAAAAGUAACCAAACGGAUGAAUUUUGGAGUGAUUCCAAUUGGAGGAUGUUCGUGAGUCUUUUGAAAUGAUUAUAUCAAAAUUCCAGAUUUUUCUACCAAGCCGUUUGACCAUGGCGAUUAAGUUAAGGCCCAGCGCGCAGUUUUCUCAUAUUGACAUUUCUGGACGUUUUUUGUAUUUUGAAGAUCAAUAUGUCAUAUUUUGAGGAAGCUUUCUUCUGAGGAUUUGUAUGGGACAUCUCCAGCUUUCAAAAGAGACCUUUUGGGACCAAAUCGGAGUUGAUUUGGGUGGUCAGAAGUCUGAUUUUCUGAGAACUCCAAAUUCUUGUUCAAAUAGGAAACCUUUUAUUUUCUGUUUUAUUAUUUUAGUAUGUUUCAUAGUUUUAUUCUAAGACCUUUUAGGGUUUUAUUUUGUAUUAGUAUAAAUAAGAUAUUUAGCCAUUAGGGGAAAAGAGGAGAGAAUAGGAGGAGAACGCACACAGUACUUGGAGGAUUCAAGUUUAUUUUCAAGGUGUUUUAUAUCCAUGUUCUUAAUAAUAUUUUGUUUUAUGGUUGUUAGUAACUAGUUUCGUUUGCUAGGGCGAGGCCACGAUCCUUAGCAAGAAUAUGUAGUUUCUUUUCAAUCUGCUUAUGAUAUUAUGCAUGCAAGUUUUGAAUUAUUAAUCAUUGUGCUUUAAACUAUCUAAUUGUGUUGAUGAUUGGCCGCCAUUAGGAUAUUUAGAAAAGUAAUUUGAUGCAAUUUUGGCGGAGGGCUGUCCCUGGAAUUGGCGCUGGCUUCUUGUGGUUAAUAUGUGUAACUUCUUAGGAUGGACGACAUGUCUUAAGGGUUAUAUGGUUUUUCAAAAGGAUUUCACAAAACUUUAUGAGUUUUACAUGUUCACGUUUGAUCUGGACACCACAGAUGGGUUGCACGUUAAAUAUAGAUUCUAUGUUGGAGGUUCCAAGUAGGGCAUACUUUAGGAAAACCUAAUUAACCAUCAAAAUAUGCAUGUGUAUUUCAUAAGUAAUUGGAAGAACUAUAUAGGAUUGUUAAGGUGAUGGUGAAACCCUAGUGCUUAACUUUUUUCUUUGGUUUUCUUUACUUUCCCAAUUUAUAGUGGAUCCAAACCAUUAUUGUAACAAUACUUAGCUACAGUAGCCUUAAGUGUAUUAUCGGUGUCACGCACCGAUCCCGACAUACGUCUAGGAUCGACACGUGAUGUCACCAAAUACCCAUAUCUCCAACUUACUCUGCCUCUGGGAUAUGGCAAAGUGAUGAGUCAAUAUUUUACCAUAUAUUUUACCCUAAUCUCAGUUUGUUGGUUAUUUUGGAAGAAUUUUGAUGCUUUGUUAUAUAUUUCUAAUGUAGGAUAUUCGACAUCCUCGGGGGAAAAAAAGUAACCAAACAGAUGAAUUCUGGAGUGAUUCCAAUUGGAGAAUGUUCGUGAGUCUUUCAAGAUGAUUGUAUCAAAAUUCCAGAUUUUACUAUCAAGCUGUUUGAUCGUGGCGAUGAAAUUAAGGCCCACCGCGUAGCUUUCCCAGAUUGACGUUUCUGGACGUUUUUGGUAUUUUGAAGGUCAAGAUGUUAUAUUUAGAGGAAGAUUCCUUCUGAGGAUUUGUAUGGGACGUCUCCAGCUUUCAAAAGAGACCUUUUGGGACAAAAUCGGAGUUGAUUUGGUUGGUCAAAAGUCUGAUUGUCUGAUAACUCCGAAUUCUAGUUCAAAUAGGAAACCUUUUAUUUUCUGUUUUAUUAUUUUAUUAUGUUUCCUAGUUUUAUUCUAAGACCUUUUAGGGUUUUAUUUUGUAUUAGUAUAAAUAAGAUGUUUAGCCAUCAGGGUAAAAGAGGAGGAGAGAAAAAGAGGAGAACGCACAUAGUACUUUGGAGGAUUCAAGUUUAUUUUCAAGGUGUUUUCUUUCCAUGUUCUUAAUAAUAUUUUGUUUUAUGGUUGUUAGUAACUAGUUUCGUUUGCUAGGGCGAGGCCACGAGCCUUAGUGAGAAUAUGUAGUUUCUUUUCAAUUUGCUUAUGAUAUAUAUUAUGCAUGCAAGUUUUGAAUUAUUAAUCACUAUGCUUUAAACUAUCUAAUUGUCUUGAUGAUUGGCCACCAUUAGGAUAUUUAAAAAGGUAAUUUGAUGCAAUUUUGGUGGCGGGAUGUCCCUGGAAUUGGUGCUGGCUUCUUGUGGUUAAUAUGUGUAACUUCUUAGGAUGGACAACACGUCUUAAGGGUUAUAUGGUUUUUCAGAAGGAUUUCACAAAACUUAAUGAGUCUUGCAUGUUCACAUUCGAUCUGGACACCACAGACGGGCUGCAUGUUAGAUAUACGUUUUAUGUUGGAGGUUCCAAGUAAGGCAUACUUUAGGAAAACCAAACCUUCAAAAUAUGCAUGUGUAAUUCAUAAGUAAUUGGAAGAACUACGUAGGAUUGUUAAGGUGACGGCGAAACCCUAGUGCUUAAAUUUAUUUUCAAAAACUAUUUUCUUUGCUUUUCUUUACUUUCCCAAUUUAUUUAAUUGUUUUUAGUUCAAUUGGUUUUUAAUAUUUUAGGCCAUAAAACCAACCUCUUCUAGACUUUAUUUUCAAAUAAUUAAUUAAGAUUUGGUUUUAACAUAAAUUAUGGCUUUUUUUAUUAGCACCUCCUAAAAUGUUGAAUGCACCCCACAUUAAAAUUUAAUAUUAAAUGACUUAUUUACCCCACUAUGCAAUGACAAUUUUGACCUUAUUAGGUUUUAAAAAAAUAAAAUAAAAAUCUCUAAAUACACCCCAAAUCACUAAACCCUAUUAUUUAUCUUCUCAACUAUCAAAACCCUCUUACCCUCCAUUGUUGAACAAAACCCUAACCAAUGAAACUACAAACAUCUUGAUUGAGAAAAAUUGCUUUUGACGAAUGGAACACAAAAUCAAUGUUUCGGAGCCUUCACAUGAGGUAAGACUAUGUUUCAUCGGUGGUUUGGUUAAUUUCAUAUUCCUUUUUUUUUUCUUCCAUUGGUUAUUCAUUUUCUUCUUUGCAGGUUACAAAUCCAGCCAGUGAUCCUCUUAGAGUAGAUUUGGUUAUAUCCCUUGAAAUGAACAUUGGAGAGCGACAAAAUAUUUUGGAGGUUGGACCAGAAAAUGCAUCGCAGGUUUGUUGGCAUGUACCACUCUGCCUAUUGAUAUUGAGUUGUAUGGUUCUUAAAAUAAUUGAGGUGUAUGAUUCUUAGUAAAUAAAUGAGGAUUUGAUAAUAAUUUUUGGUGUAUUUAAAUACGAUAGCAUACAAGGCAAUACCUCUAUAGGGGACAAUGAGGUUGCAGCAACGAGCGUCGUUGAUCACACAAACGCAUUUAAAACAAACGAGGUAACUAUUUUUAGUAUAUUGAAUGUGCAUCUGUGAAUUUCAUGGAAAUUCUUGCAUUCUUUUAUUCAGCAUAGUGCAUUAGGUUCAUAAUAGGGAAUAACAUAUGGGUUGGAAUCUUAGCAUGUCUACAAACAUUUUGUUAGUGGCAAAUGGCAAUGAUCUUGUAUGUACAGGUGUUCAAAAGUAAAAAUGAUUUCCUUGAUUGGACUCGCGCACAAGGAAAAAAGAAUAAUAUGGUUAUUAUCAUUAAGAGGUAUGAUGCGGGAAAGGUUGACCGAAGGAGGAAGAGAGCUCGAAUAACAUUUGCUUGUGAGAGACAUGGCGAGUAUCGAUCCAUAUUGAGGAAGUCGGAUAUUAAUGACCAAAUUUCUGAUGCAAAUAAUAAGAAGAAUAAAGAACCCAGGAAUACUGGUACUAAAAAAUGCGGAUGUCCAUUUAUGUUGAAAAGAGUCAACGUUGGAGAAGGAGAUGAAUUGAAAUUGGAGGUUGAGUGUGGGGUGCAUAACCAUACUUAUUCACAGUAUCUUGAAGGGCAUUCUUUUGUCGGACGAUUAACUAAAGAGCAAAAUGAACUUUUAGUUGACAUGUCUACAAGUUUAGUGAGACCCAAAGUUAUUUUGAACACCAUAAAGAAAAAAGAUCCACUUAAUGUAACAACGAUGAGGACAAUAUACAAUGCAAGACACUAUCAUCGGACAAAAGAAAAAGCAGGGAGAUCAGAAAUGCAACAGUUGUUAUGUAAGUUGGUUGAGUACAACUAUAUUGAGCAUCAUCGAAGUAUUGGUGUUGAUAAUGCUGUUAGUGACUUGUUUUGGACUCACCCAAUUAAUGUCGAUACCUUACAUUGUUUCCCACAUGCACUUAUCAUGGAUUGCACGUACAAGACUAAUAGGCAUCGUUUUCCACUCCUGGAGAUUGUAGGGGUAACUUCAACUAGUAUUACAUUUUCGGUUACAUUUGCUUUCAUUGACCAUGAGAAGGAAGACAAUUACACAUGGGCAUUGACAAGAUUGAAGACUCUAAUGAAUGAUGAUUGUAUUUCUGGUGUGAUUGUCACUAAUCGAGAUCUUACAUUGUUUCCCACAUGUACUUAUCAUGGAUUGCAUGUACAAGACUAAUAGGCAUCGUAUUCCACUCCUGGAGAUUGUAGGGGUAACUUCAACUAAUAUUACAUUUUUGGUUGCAUUUGCUUUCAUUGACCAUGAGAAGGAAGACAAUUACACAUUGGCAUUGACAAGAUUGAAGACUCUAAUGAAAGAUGAUUGUAUUCCUAGUGUGAUUGUCACUGAUCGAGACUUUAGCAAACUGAACUCAAAUAUAUUGAUUGCAAGGCGAGAGUACAUUUGUAAAAACAAGGUUUACUUUUUAAUGGAGGUUGUGUAAGAAAAAUUACAUUCAAAUUCAUUGCGGAUCUCUUCUUUUUCUAAGACCAAAUCAAAGAAACAAAUAAUUGAAUCAAUGAAUUACUAUAGCAGCUCCAUUUCUGACAAUGGCAAGAGGUCUCUGUGCUAAUCAAACUACCCGAAAUUUAUCCUAAAACUAUACUCGAGCUCCACCUUAUCUUCAAUCUCAAAUGCCUUCUCAAUAUGAUUUCAUCAUAAACCUGCUAUCCUAUUUAUAAGAAAUUAAGCACAAGCUAGCUCAAGUUAUGGUCUUCAAUUAAUAUUAAUUUCGACAAAUCAGUUUCCCAUCUCUUUCAUUGAUAUGAACAUGGCUGAUCUCAUUGGUGUGGCGCAAUAUUUGUUAAAUUAGCCGUUCGGGUUGAUUUCUUUGUAUAACUCAUCUGCCAAUUCUACAACUUGUAGACUUAAUUCCCAUUACAAAAUUAAAAAUAAAAUAAAAUCCAAAACCAAUGUAAGAUAAAUAAAGACUUUUUAUAUCAUAAAAUAAGACUUUCUAACUUGUAUACAAGACUAUAGUGACAAGAUCAAACACAUUGAUGGGUGCGCAAUUUCCAUCAACAUAUGUUCUGUGCGUUUAAACUGAGCGUGGAGUCUUUUUUUAGCAAUUAAAAGUUUUGUAUCAUGUAAUUGUCUUGGUUUGACAAGACCUACAUCUAGAUGAGUUGCUUCUGAAGACUAAUGUAAAACUUUAUGUUGAUAUUUCUUGAGGGUGAAACAUCGUUUGAGAAACGUUUGGGGUCUCAUUACAAUUUUUUCAUUUAUUUUUUAACUUUUGGUUUAAAUAUUCUACUACAAAUACAUUUGUGGCUUCAAUAACUAGUAAAACCACUUUCAAAUAUCUUAGUAUUGGCUUUCAGAACAAAGGGUUUUGGUAGUACAGGUGGAGCCAUGUUGUAUAGUGUAGCUGGAAUUGGGAUGAUCUCUCUCUUUAUUUAUUUAUUUUUUUCCUUUAAUUUGCUUGCUUUGAAUGUGAUGCUCAGUUCCAACCUACUAUCCUAUUUCUAAGAAAUUAAGCACAAGCUAUCUCAAGUUAUGGUCUUUAAUUAAUAUUAAUUUCCUCAAUCUGUUUCCCAUAUCUUUCAUUGAUACUAACAUGGCUGAUCUCAUUGGUGUGACGCAAGAUUUGUUAAAAUAGCUGAUCGGAUUGAUUUUUUCUUUGUACCCGAGAAGAAAUGCAGGAAGGAGGAAUUUAUAAAGACAAUGGAUACCUGCUCUUCGCUGCAAAAAACGACACUUAAAGGACAAUUUUCCCGAGGUUUUCACCGCCGUUUUUACCGUUUGCUGCAAAAAACAAAUACUCUCCCCUUGCGAGCUCCGUCAUCAAUUCCCCUCGCGAACUUUGAGUCCCUCUGAAAAAAUGAUUAAGUGAAAUUUGAAUUUUUCAAACUUUGUGUUUGGUUAUAUCUAACGAUCCCUAAUUCCAAAUUUAUGGUUUAGAUAUAUAAAAAAGAUAUCUCGGGUACUUCAUUGCUAUCCUUUAAGCUCCCCACUUUCAAACAAAGCAAAAAAUUCUAAUUGAGUUGGGUUUUGAACAUGCAGAUUAGUUAGACAACUUAAUUACCAAUCCUUAUUAUUAUUGCAACAAACACACGGAUUACACUAAAAGCUAGUGAAUCAUACACUUGCAGAUGACUUAUCCAAACACAAAGAUAAGACAUGAGUUUAUUAUUAUUGCUAUAAACACACGGAUUACAGCGAAAUUCAAAAACUAAAAACACGGAAAAAAGUAGUGAUGAAAACCAAUGCCACUUUCGCGGGGAACACGAUUGCAUUCGCACAUGCAACAAGCCUUUUAAACCCAUAGGUGACCCAAAUGGGACGAGUGAAGUCUCGUGAGGGUUUCCAGAGACGUUACCCACAAACAUCAUGCAUACUGAUCAUCAACAUCUGACUUGGGAGACUGAGUAGAUAUCCACCCCUCCAGCAUCAGGUUGUUUUUGGUUGAGGCGUAAUUCGAAUCUGUUUUCAAUGAACGGCCUGGUUAUGAGAUCGCUUUGCAAGUGACGUAAUCGGCAGCGCGUGAUUAGGUUGUUGCUGUCAGGUGGUCCGACAGGCUCGACCUUGAACAAUGUGCAAGCCCAAUUGUCUUUGGUUUCAUUUCGGUCAGCAGCUGCGGCCAGGACCAAUAGCCUGUUUUGGUCCACCCUUCUCAAGUAGUUGCCAUUGUAGGAGCAUUUGAUAUGCACGUAAUUCUUGUCGGCGUAGUCCUCAUUGUUUGGCUUCUCUGUGGUGAACUUUAUGAACCUGCUGUUUUCAUUGUCCUCAGAAAACUGGACAAUCUCAUUAAGGUCGCUUUCUGCAUCAAGUUGAUAGCGCAAAUACUUGUUGUUGAUAUCUGCUUUCAGCAGAAAAGGGCUUGGUAGUACAGGUGGAGCCAUGUCGUAUAGUGUAGUUGGGAUUGGGAUGCUCUCUCUUUUUUAUUCUCUAUUGAUGAUCUAAUUUGCUUGCUG
rnacentral:lncRNA from 1 species